UAACUUUCAACAACGGAUCUCUUGGCUCUUGCAUCGAUGAAGAACGCAGCGAAAUGCGAUAAGUAAUGUGAAUUGCAGAAUUCCGUGAAUCAUCAAAUCUUUGAACGCAAAUUGCACUCCUUUGUAUUCCGAGGAGUAUGCUUGUUUGAGGGUUGUUC
rnacentral:rRNA from 1 species